CCCUUAGAUGUUCUGGGCCGCACGCGCGCUACACUGAUGCAUUCAACGAGCCUAUCCUUGACCGACAGGUCCGGGUAAUCUUUGAAUCUGCAUCGUGACGGGGAUAGAUUAUUGCAAUUAUUAAUCUUCAACGAGGAAUGCCUAGUAGACGCAAGUCAUCAGCUUGCGUCGAUUACGUCCCUGCCCUUUGUACACACCGCCCGUCGCUCCUACCGAUUGGGUGUGCUGGUGAAAUGUUCGGAUCGGCCGUUUGUCGCGGUUUCCGCGGCUCGUGGCUGAGAAGUUCAUUAAACCCUCCCACCUAGAGGAAGGAGAAGUCGUAACA
rnacentral:rRNA from 1 species